rnacentral:lncRNA from 1 species
GAGAGAUAGCCAGGGAUCCCUGAAGUGCUGGGACUUGGGAGGAAGUUUCUAGUCUCCUCACAGCAAUGAAUUCCAGGACCAAGAACUACAUAAGUGAAUAAGAAGAAUAUAAUUCAGAAGGGCUGAUACCUCUUGGAAGGUGUGAGAAGGCUGAGCUUUUGCUUAAGAUACCAGUAUUUCUCCAAAGGAAGGAGUGCUGAUAUAUCAGUGGGCAAUGUAUUCAGAGCUCAUUUCCUAGACAGAGCACUGAGAUGUCAUGAAUGCCUGUGUGCUAUACUCACCUUCCCCAUGGUACCGGGUGUUCUGGGUGCCUACUGAUGGCAGGAGAGCACCCUCAGCCCCACUGAGAUGUGGGGCACUGUGGUACAGAGGCAGAUCCAGGCUCUCCUGGCUUUCUAGCACCUGUGCCUCAACCACGAGGCCAAAUGCAUACUGAAGCUCUGGAUUUCAGGCCUAAGAUGAAGAGUCACUGCCAUUAGUUCCACACCAUCACAAUUGUAACAUCAAAACAAGCACUGUAUUAAAAAUAAACACAGCAGGCAUUCACUGGCAUGAUUAAAAUGUAUACAUAUGGGUG